UACGGAGGGGGCUAGCGUUGUUCGGAAUUACUGGGCGUAAAGCGCACGUAGGCGGCUUUGUAAGUUAGAGGUGAAAGCCCGGGGCUCAACUCCGGAAUUGCCUUUAAGACUGCAUCGCUAGAAUUGUGGAGAGGUAAGUGGAAUUCCGAGUGUAGAGGUGAAAUUCGUAGAUAUUCGGAAGAACACCAGUGGCGAAGGCGACUUACUGGCCACAUAUUGACGCUGAGGUGCGAAAGCGUGGGGAGCAAACAGG
rnacentral:rRNA from 1 species